UACGUGGGGUGCAAGCGUUGUCCGGAAUUAUUGGGCGUAAAGAGCUCGUAGGCGGUUUGUUGCGUCGGCUGUGAAAUCCCGAGGCUCAACCUCGGGUCUGCAGUCGAUACGAGCAAACUAGAGUGUUGCAGGGGAGACUGGAAUUCCUGGUGUAGCGGUGGAAUGCGCAGAUAUCAGGAGGAACACCGGUGGCGAAGGCGGGUCUCUGGGCAGUAACUGACGCUGAGGAGCGAAAGCGUGGGGAGCGAACAGG
rnacentral:rRNA from 1 species